GGGAUAAGCUUCAUCGUCGAGAGGGAAACAGCCCGGAUCACCAGCUAAGGCCCCUAAAUGACCGCUCAGUGAUAAAGGAGGUGGGGGUGCAAAGACAGCCAGGAGGUUUGCCUAGAAGCAGCCACCCUUUAAAGAGUGCGUGAUAGCUCACUGAUCGAGCGCCCUUGCGCUGAAGAUGAACGGGGCUAAGCGAUCUGCCGAAGCUGUGGGAUGUCAAAAUGCAUCGGUAGGGGAGCGUUCCGCCUUAGAGGGAAGCAACCGCGAAAGCGGGGGUCGACGAAGCGGAAGC
rnacentral:ncRNA from 1 species